AGUGAACGCUGGCGGUAGGCCUAACACAUGCAAGUCGAACGGCAGCACAGUAAGAGCUUGCUCUUACGGGUGGCGAGUGGCGGACGGGUGAGGAAUACAUCGGAAUCUACUUUUUCGUGGGGGAUAACGUAGGGAAACUUACGCUAAUACAGCAUACGACCUACGGGUGAAAGCAGGGGAUCUUCGGACCUUGCGCGAUUGAAUGAGCCGAUGUCGGAUUAGCUAGUCGGCGGGGUAAAGGCCCACCAAGUCGACGAUACGUAGCUGGUCUGAGAGGAUGAUCAGCCACACUGGAACUUAGACACGGUCCAGACUCCUACGGGAGGCAGCAGUGGGGAAUAUUGGACAAUGGGCGCAAGCCUGAUCCAGCCAUACCGCGUGUGUGAAGAAGGCCUUCGGGUUGUAAAGCCCUUUUGUUGGGAAAGAAAAGCAGCAGGUUAAUACCCCGCUGUUCUGACGGUACCCAAAGAAUAAGCACCGGCUAACUUCGUG
rnacentral:rRNA from 1 species